rnacentral:piRNA from 1 species
CGAAUCAGAGCCGUGCCCAAGAUAUCC